GAUGAACGCUGGCGGCGUGCCUAGUACAUGCAAGUCGAGCGAACCGAUUAGAAGCUUGCUUCUAUGACGUUAGCGGCGGACGGGUGAGUAACACGUGGGCAACCUGCCUGUAAGACUGGGAUAACUUCGGGAAACCGAAGCUAAUACCGGAUAGGAUCUUCUCCUUCAUGGAAGAUGAUUGAAAGAUGGUUUCGGCUAUCACUUACAGAUGGGCCCGCGGUGCAUUAGCUAGUUGGUGAGGUAACGGCUCACCAAGGCAACGAUGCAUAGCCGACCUGAGAGGGUGAUCGGCCACACUGGGACUGAGACACGGCCCAGACUCCUACGGGAGGCAGCAGUAGGGAAUCUUCCGCAAUGGACGAAAGUCUGACGGAGCAACGCCGCGUGAGUGAUGAAGGCUUUCGGGUCGUAAAACUCUGUUGUUAGGGAAGAACAAGUACGAGAGUAACUGCUCGUACCUUGACGGUACCUAACCAGAAAGCCACGGCUAACUACGUGCCAGCAGCCGCAGUAAUAC
rnacentral:rRNA from 1 species